UUUUUGCAACCCUUUCUUCUUCGAUUUUCUUUUUGAAAACCAAAAUAAGCAUACCUCAGAAUGAGUUUUAGAAGCCGAAACUAGAUCCUUUGUUGUUAAUUUUCUCUUGGUUCAAACUCCUUCUUCCUUCCAUUAUUUUUAAGACUAUAGCCGAUUGCCUCAAAUUCCGAAAUCCCGAAAACUUGAUUCCUCUUGUACCGAUUUCCUUAGCCAAUUCUCUUAUUUUUCUCAUCAUCUUUGGCCAAUUCUCUCGUCCUCUAAACCCCAAGUUUCUAUCGACAGUACCACAGUAAAACCCUCAUAUUUUAUCUUUCUCUACACUAUUACAAAAAAGCUGAAAAUCCCACACUAUCCUAGGGACAUAGCCGAAUAUUGAGAUCACUGAAGGCUCGAAUUUUGUUAUCGUUUGAGGGCUUAGAGCUGCAUCAGAAUCAAGUAGGAACUAAGGGGGAACGUUGACUGAAAGAAUCGGUGGUAAGUCUUUCCAACUUAGUCUAUCUUUCGUAUUUUAGAAAAAAAGCCGAAACCCCUAAAGGCUAAGGAGGCUGUCGAUUUGGGUUUAUAGCCCUAAGGGUUGUGAUAAUUACUUUAUUUUUGAUAAUAGUGUGAUCUAGAGGCUGUUGAUCAAGGGCUUGGACAAGUGGAACAACUGGAUCUAAACCUAGUCGCUAACUUUGGCAAAGGUAGGAUCGCUAGUGCCUAAGGUGUUAUUGGCCGAAUAUGGUAAGGAGUUAAUAUGUAGUUCAUUUUUGAUAGUUAGAUUAACGUGGUAGUAAUACAAUUGUAGGCAGUUCGUACGUGGAUCUCGUCAACGAAUCGUCAUAAAAUAGGUGUGUAAACGACACCCACUCAUAGACUAGAUCGGCAAAAGCCAAAAAGCUAAAAAGCCGGCAUUUGUGAACUUACGAGCGUGCGAGCGCUUGUGAGGUGGUUAGGUUGUUAAUUUUGGUAAUCGCAAGCAGUAUGAUUGCAGAGUGCGCAAUUUCGUGCACUUCGGUAUAUUUGGGCUUAAUGGGCCAAAAACGGGUUAGUGGGCCAACGGGCCCAAUUCGGCAAAAACGCUCGGUAAGUGCUUCUGUUAAUGUGUUAAUGGUUAUAAUAUGU
rnacentral:lncRNA from 1 species